GACGAACGCUGGCGGCGUGCUUAACACAUGCAAGUCGAACGGAAAGGCCCUGCUUGCAGGGUACUCGAGUGGCGAACGGGUGAGUAACACGUGGGUGAUCUGCCCUGCACUUCGGGAUAAGCCUGGGAAACUGGGUCUAAUACCGGAUAGGAGCCAUUUUUAGUGUGAUGGUUGGAAAGUUUUUUCGGUGUAGGAUGAGCUCGCGGCCUAUCAGCUUGUUGGUGGGGUAAUGGCCUACCAAGGCGGCGACGGGUAGCCGGCCUGAGAGGGUGGACGGCCACAUUGGGACUGGGAUCCGGCCCGGACUCCUACGGGAGGCAGAAGUGGGGAAUAUUGCACAAUGGGCGCAAGCCUGAUGCAGCGACGCCGCGUGGGGAUGACGGCCUUCGGGUUGUAAACUCCUUUCGCUAGGGACGAAGCUUUUUGUGACGGUACCUAGAUAAGAAGCACCGGCUAACUACGUG
rnacentral:rRNA from 1 species